CAAGACACAGGGCACAGCCCAGUGUCGAGGGGUGAAUAAGCACACUUUGCUUUUGUGGCAGGAAUACUUCGGCAAAGAGGCAGAGAGUACGAUACAGUGAGGGGUGCAGAACAGGGGCCAAUCAUCCAGUUUACCACAGCAUUAAAGGAGUUUAACAGCAGAAAGUUUCCAUUCUGGCUGAGAAGAAUAAAUAGAAUCCAUGUACUUGACUCAAGCAGAUGACUUCUGUGAUUUGGUACUGAAGAUUUGUCAAACUCCGGGAAAUUUGUUCAUACUAUUGUUGGAACUUACCAAGCCCAAAAUUUCCCAACACCCAACCCAGCAACUCAAGGUGGCCCAAGUAAGCUCAUUCCUCCCAAAAACUGAGUAAUAAUUCAUUGACUGCAUCAUCAAGCCUAGCAAAACCUGCAAGAAGAAUCAACGGGAAGACCUGUUGACAAUAAGUG
rnacentral:lncRNA from 13 species